rnacentral:rRNA from 1 species
AGAGUUUGAUCCUGGCUCAGGACGAACGCUGGCGGCGUGCCUAAUACAUGCAAGUCGAGCGGAUCUUCAUUAGCUUGCUUUUGAAGAUCAGCGGCGGACGGGUGAGUAACACGUGGGCAACCUGCCUGUAAGACUGGGAUAACUUCGGGAAACCGGAGCUAAUACCGGAUAAUCCUUUCCCUCACAUGAGGGAAAGCUGAAAGACGGUUUCGGCUGUCACUUACAGAUGGGCCCGCGGCGCAUUAGCUAGUUGGUGAGGUAACGGCUCACCAAGGCAACGAUGCGUAGCCGACCUGAGAGGGUGAUCGGCCACACUGGGACUGAGACACGGCCCAGACUCCUACGGGAGGCAGCAGUAGGGAAUCUUCCGCAAUGGACGAAAGUCUGACGGAGCAACGCCGCGUGAACGAUGAAGGCUUUCGGGUCGUAAAGUUCUGUUGUCAGGGAAGAACAAGUACCGGAGUAACUGCCGGUACCUUGACGGUACCUGACCAGAAAGCCACGGCUAACUACGCGCCAGCAGCCGCGGUAAUACGUAGGUGGCAAGCGUUGUCCGGAAUUAUUGGGCGUAAAGCGCGCGCAGGCGGUUCCUUAAGUCUGAUGUGAAAGCCCCCGGCUCAACCGGGGAGGGUCAUUGGAAACUGGGGAACUUGAGUGCAGAAGAGGAGAGCGGAAUUCCACGUGUAGCGGUGAAAUGCGUAGAGAUGUGGAGGAACACCAGUGGCGAAGGCGGCUCUCUGGUCUGUAACUGACGCUGAGGCGCGAAAGCGUGGGGAGCGAACAGGAUUAGAUACCCUGGU